rnacentral:rRNA from 1 species
UACGUAGGGGGCUAGCGUUGUCCGGAUUUAUUGGGCGUAAAGAGCGUGUAGGCGGCCAGGUAGGUCUGCUGUGAAAACUCGAGGCUUAACCUCGAGCUGUCGGCGGAAACCAUCUGGCUAGAGUCCGGAAGAGGAGAAUGGAAUUCCCGGUGUAGCGGUGAAAUGCGCGGAUAUCGGGAAGAACACCCGUGGCGAAGGCGGUUCUCUGGGACGGUACUGACGCUGAGACGCGAAAGCGUGGGGAGCGAACAGG